rnacentral:tRNA from 1 species
GGACGACUAGCUCAGUUGGUUAGAGCACAGCAUUCACAUUGCUGGGGUCACUGGUUCGAAUCCAGUGUCGUCCA